rnacentral:rRNA from 1 species
CAGUAGCCGCGGGAAUACGUAGGGCGCAAGCGUUAUCCGGAAUUAUUGGGCGUGAAGAGCUCGUAGGCGGUUUGUCGCGUCUGCCGUGAAAGUCCGGGGCUCAACCCCGGAUCUGCGGUGGGUACGGGCAGACUAGAGUGAUGUAGGGGAGACUGGAAUUCCUGGUGUAGCGGUGAAAUGCGCAGAUAUCAGGAGGAACACCGAUGGCGAAGGCAGGUCUCUGGACAUUAACUGACGCUGAGGAGCGAAAGCAUGGGGAGCGAACAGGAUUAGAUACCCGCGUAGUCCCUGUCUCUUAUAA